rnacentral:misc_RNA from 1 species
AAGUCGUAACAAGGUUUCCGUAGGUGAACCUGCGGAAGGAUCAUUAACACGUAUCCAAACGUUAAACCCCCCUGUGAACCUUCACCUGUACUCGUACGUCCGUUAGAAAAAGCAGCAAUCCCUGGUAAAUCAUCGCCGAACAGUUUUCGAUUCAGGGAUGUCUGCAAGGAGCGUGCAUGUUGUGCGAGCAAGUGGCCUGGCAUCCCCAAGCAGUUAGUGUCUGAAAGUGUCAUUAACUGUGUAAGGAUGACGCAGUCACGAUCGUUGGAGGCCCACACGGCCGACGACCGGGUCACUGGGCGCAAGCCCCCCUAUAACAAACGCUGCUAAUCGCGGCCGCGAUAAUACGCAGUCGACCAAAAACCGAACAACUGUUAACAAUGGAUAUCUCGGUUCUC